rnacentral:rRNA from 1 species
CUUGCUUCUCUUGAGAGCGGCGGACGGGUGAGUAAUGCCUAGGAAUCUGCCUGGUAGUGGGGGAUAACGUUCGGAAACGGACGCUAAUACCGCAUACGUCCUACGGGAGAAAGCAGGGGACCUUCGGGCCUUGCGCUAUCAGAUGAGCCUAGGUCGGAUUAGCUAGUUGGUGAGGUAAUGGCUCACCAAGGCGACGAUCCGUAACUGGUCUGAGAGGAUGAUCAGUCACACUGGAACUGAGACACGGUCCAGACU